GCCAGGUGUGGUGGUGCACACCUGUAGUCCCAGCUACUCAGGAGGUUGAGGCAGGAGAAUCGCUUGAACCCAGGAGGCGGAGGUUGCAGUGAGCUGAGAUCACGCCACUGCACUCCCACCUGGGUGACAGAGAGAGACCCUGUCUCAA
ensembl:misc_RNA Metazoa_SRP Metazoan signal recognition particle RNA